rnacentral:rRNA from 1 species
CCUACGGGAGGCAGCAGUGAGGAAUAUUGGUCAAUGGGCGCGAGUCUGAACCAGCCAAGCAGCGUGAAGGAUGACUGCCCUAUGGGUUGUAAACUUCUUUUAUAAAAGAAUAAUGUCAGGUACGUGUGUCUUCUUGUAAGUAUUUUACGAAUAAGGAUCGGCUAACUCCGUGCCAGCAGCCGCGGUAAUACGGAGGAUCCGAGCGUUAUCCGGAUUUAUUGGGUUUAAAGGGUGCGUAGAUGGGUUGUUAAGUCAGUUGUGAAAGUUUGCGGCUCAACCGUAAAAUUGCAAUUGAUACUGGCAGUCUAGAGAACAGUUGAGGUAGGCGGAAUUCGUGGUGUAGCGGUGAAAUGCGUAGAUAUCACGAAGAACCCCGAUUGCGAAGGCAGCUUACUAAACUGUGACUGACGUUGAUGCUCGAAAGUGUGGGUAUCAAACAGGAUUAGAUACCCGGGUAGUC